GGUGGUUGAAGUAGGUCAGAGUGAUCACCAGGCUGUUGUUGCCUGGCAGCCCAGUGGCAGGGUCCGAGACAAGGUGGUAUUCCAGUAGAUGCCCUCGGGCCGUACCAACCCAGGGUCAAGGACUAGCUGCUCCAGUGCUAUAUGUGAUCAGCUCAUUUCCAGUUUCUCAAUCAUUCUGAUGUCAUCCGAGGGACAGAAGACCCCACGGCUCCUCCUCUUUGCCUAGUUUACACAUCGGGGUUGUUCUAGCAUUUGUAGUUUUCAGGUUCUAGAAUAUUCUUUUCCUCUGUCAGCCCCCACUAAGAAGCUUUCUUGAUUUCCCCCUUUGUUUCCAGUGAAGGUGCCUCUUCCUGGCUAGCCCACCUACAUGCUGUCAUCACUGGGCUUCUGCAACUCUCAGUCUUUGUGGCUGCACCCUUCCCUUCUGAAUCCUGAGGACCCAUGAGUGUCAGGCCCAUCAUGAAAUUGGUCGUCUUACUGGGUCUUUCCCCUGCAGCUUUCCCGAGGCUGUACAGCAUUUAUUGGUGCUCAUCUGUUUGAGUAGAGCUGGCAUAGAGGACUGCCACCGGCUGGGAGGGGCCAUGGUACCAGAGGUCUUGGGUGCCUGAAGAUACUCCCCCUAGCCCUGAUGCCUUGGAAGAGAAGCCCUUCAAGACAAGCUGAUGCCAGGCCCUGGCCAGAGGUGGGGACAGAUGGCAUUUCCUGCUCAGUGUGUGGGCCUGGGCCCCAUUGCUUGGGGGAGUUCCAUGAGUGUUAACAGGAUUCAAAGGAAGAGGUAGGAACUUAGGGGCGAUCCUGUUGGAAAGAUAUCAUUUGGAGAAGUGAGGGGGAGCUUGAAGCAAAGGGGUCUGUGUCCUGAGGAAAGUCUGGUACCCUCUGAUACCUCUUUCCCCAUUGAUGCUGACUGAUCUUGCUUUUGGGCUGAUCUGUCAAGAAGACUGGCAUGUUUCCACUGGAGAUCUGUCCUUUUUUUCUCCCCAGUGCCCCCACUGUUGGUCAGUGGGCAUUGUGAGGAUCAAGGCUACUGGACACUGAGUAGCAACUCAGAAUCCAUCUCGGGGAGGUUCUGAGGGUCAGCCUGGGCAUGGAGAGAGGCAGGUGGCACUUCUUGGUGGGUGUGGUAGCAGAGAAAUCCUAGAAGUUGCAACCGCACCCCUCCUCGUCUGGAGUGACAGGGGAGUGGCCUGAGCCCUGCUCCCCAGCUGUCCAAGGCAAACUGACUGGAGUCCAUCUGGCUGUCCCCACCAGAUCAGGCUCCCUUCCCAUCCUGGAACACCAAAGCUGCUAAGUCUGCAGAAAGCACAGCAGAGGGAUGCCUAGAUCAGGGGUCUACCUAGGCACACCUGGAGCUAAGCUGCAUGGGGGGUGGGGGGUGAGGGUGGGGAGAUGCCCAAGGGCAGCCAAGGGUACCUUCAAUGGCCUUUCUUCCUAGGUUCUAUGUAAUGGUGGCUACACACUUCCCUGAUGACUGUCAUUUAAGGCAUACAUAAUUCUCCUUCCAGAACCUGUCUCUUCAUUGUUAUCAUGGUCAUCUAUUCACAAUAUCCUCUGUCACUUUAGAAUAUAUUGCUUAUAAAAAGA
rnacentral:lncRNA from 1 species